ACUGUAACAGCAGGUGGCUCUACAUCAGGUUAUGUACUGUAGCAGCUACUGACUCCACAUCAGGUUAUGUACUGUAGCAGCUACUGACUCCACAUCAGGUUAUGUACUGUAGCAGCUACUGACUCCACAUCAGGUUGUGUACUGUAGCAGCUACUGACUCCACAUCAGGUUGUGUACUGUAGCAGCUACUGACUCCACAUCAGGUUAUGUACUGUAGCAGCAGCUGGCUCCACAUCAGGUUGUGUACUGUAGCAGCAGCUGGCUUCCACAUCAGGUUAUGUACUGUAGCAGCUACUGACUCCACAUCAGGUUAUGUACUGUAGCAGCUACUGACUCCACAUCAGGUUGUGUACUGUAGCAGCUACUGACUCCACAUCAGGUUAUGUACUGUAGCAGCUACUGACUCCACAUCAGGUUAUGUACUGUAGCAGCUACUGACUCCACAUCAGGUUAUGUACUGUAGCAGCUACUGACUCCACAUCAGGUUAUGUACUGUAGCAGCUACUGACUCCACAUCAGGUUGUGUACUGUAGCAGCUACUGACUCCACAUCAGGUUAUGUACUGU